GUGGAUUAGAUACCCUAGUAGUCCACGCCGUAAACGAUGUCGACUAGCCGUUGGGAUCCUUGAGAUCUUAGUGGCGCAGCUAACGCGAUAAGUCGACCGCCUGGGGAGUACGGCCGCAAGGUUAAAACUCAAAUGAAUUGACGGGGGCCCGCACAAGCGGUGGAGCAUGUGGUUUAAUUCGAAGCAACGCGAAGAACCUUACCUGGCCUUGACAUGCUGAGAACUUUCCAGAGAUGGAUUGGUGCCUUCGGGAACUCAGACACAGGUGCUGCAUGGUUGUCGACAGCU
rnacentral:rRNA from 1 species